GUCGAGAAUCUUUCACAAUGGGGGCAACCCUGAUGGAGCGACGCCGCGUGGAGGAUAAGGUCUUCGGAUUGUAAACUCCUGUCAUGCGUGAACAAGGUUGCUUGGUUAAUACCUGGGCAAAUUGAUGGUAACGCAAGAGGAAGAGACGGCUAACUCUGUGCCAGCAGCCGCGGUAAUACAGAGGUCUCAAGCGUUGUUCGGAAUCACUGGGCGUAAAGGGUGCGUAGGUGGCGUGGUAAGUCAGAUGUGAAAGCCCGGGGCUCAACCUCGGAACUGCAUCCGAUACUGCCAUGCUAGAGUACUGGAGAGGUGACUAGAAUUCUCGGUGUAGCAGUGAAAUGCGUAGAUAUCGAGAGGAAUACCAAAGGCGUAGGCAGGUCACUGGACAGUUACUGACACUGAGACACGAAGGCCAGGGGAGCGAACGGGAUUAGAUACCCUGGUAGUCC
rnacentral:rRNA from 1 species